UGAGGAAUAUUGGUCAAUGGGCGCAAGCCUGAACCAGCCAAGUCGCGUGAAGGACGACGGCCCUACGGGUUGUAAACUUCUUUUGUAUGAGAAUAAACAGACCACGCGUGGUCCAUUGCAGGUAUCAUACGAAUAAGCAUCGGCUAACUCCGUGCCAGCAGCCGCGGUAAUACGGAGGAUGCAAGCGUUAUCCGGAUUUAUUGGGUUUAAAGGGUGCGUAGGCGGUCUGUUAAGUCAGCGGUGAAACCUCCCGGCUCAACCGGGAGCCUGCCGUUGAAACUGGCAGACUAGAGUAUAAAAGAGGUAUGCGGAAUGCGUGGUGUAGCGGUGAAAUGCAUAGAUAUCACGCAGAACCCCAAUUGCGAAGGCAGCAUACUGGGCUAUAACUGACGCUGAAGCACGAAAGCGUGGGUAUCGAACA
rnacentral:rRNA from 1 species